UGUCUAUCUUUGCAGUCACAAAAUUCUCCGACUGACACGUCAGCCAAAGCAAUCUCUGAGAGUGGCGCGCGAGCCUCGCAGCCAAUGAGAAGCCUCCUUCUUCAAAACACUCAUCCGCCUUACUUGCCACGUGUCCUCCCCACCUCCACCCCUUUCCCUCCCUUUUCUUCUUCGUUUUCCUCAGUUGCAUCUCCCUUCCUCACUCCCAAACACUCUCCGUCUGUCUGUCUGUCUGUCUUCUUCUGCUUCUCUCUCUCCCGGGCAUGAAGAUUGGAGAUUAGGGUUUUGAUCAAAUUCCCGAUUCCUUCACCUCAAUGGCUGCUCGUUCUCUACCGCUGCCGGAACUCACGUUUCUCUCACCACAAACCACUCCUAAACGCCGCCUUUCUAUUUCUGGAGUUUCUCUCUCUAAAUUCUCUCGUAAUGGAUACCCAAGGUCUGGUGUUCGAUCCCGAAUCAGAGCGGUUAAAGAGGAAGGUGUUGUAGUUGAAGAGAGGAUCAAGAAAGUCAAUGGUGUCGAGUUGGGUGGUAAUGGAGCUGCUGCUGCUAGUACUAGCGGUAGCGGUUACGGGUCCAAUGGCUCAGUCAACAGCUACUCCAAUGGCAGUGCGGGUGUAAUUCGAAGUAAGAAUGGGGCAGUUAAUGGGAGCUUGGUGAAGUUCGUGAGUGGCAAUGGAGUGGCAGCGGAAGUGGUGCAAGGAGUUCAAGUGUUGGAGACGAAGGAGGAAGGAAGGAGGAAGAAUAUUGAGGAAAUUGGAAAGGAAGAUGCGUGGUUUAAGCAAAGCGGGCUGCCAAAAGUUGAGGUCUCCGUUGCUCCUGGUGGCCGUUGGAGUAGAUUUAAAACUUACUCGACAAUCCAGAGGACCUUGGAAAUAUGGGGAUUUGUUCUAAAAUUCAUCAUAAAGGCUUGGUUGGGCAAUAAAAAAUUCACUUAUCGAGGGGGAAUGACAGAGGAGAAGAAAACCUUGAGGCGUAAGGCACUUGCCAAGUGGCUUAAGGAGAACAUUUUGAGAUUAGGUCCAACAUUCAUUAAAAUUGGCCAGCAGUUCUCCACAAGGGUGGACAUUCUUGCCCAAGAAUAUGUUGAUCAAUUGUCAGAACUUCAGGAUCAAGUUCCUCCUUUCCCAUCAGAUACAGCUGUUUCUAUUGUUGAAGAAGAGCUUGGUGCUCCGGUGGGAGAUAUCUUUGAUCGGUUUGAUUAUGAACCAAUAGCUGCUGCUAGUCUUGGUCAGGUUCACCGUGCAAGAUUGAAGGGACAGGAAGUUGUUGUUAAAGUACAGAGGCCUGGACUCAAGGAUCUUUUCAAUAUUGAUCUUAAGAACCUGAGGGUAAUUGCAGAAUAUCUUCAAAAAAUUGACCCAAAGUCAGAUGGUGCGAAGAGGGAUUGGGUUGCUAUCUAUGAUGAGUGUGCAAAUGUUUUAUAUGAGGAGAUUGAUUAUACCAAGGAAGCUGCUAACGCUGAGCUAUUUGCCAGUAACUUCAAAAACAUGGAUUAUGUCAAAGUCCCAACAAUAAUAUGGGAAUACACUACACCACAGGUUCUGACAAUGGAGUAUGUCCCGGGGAUCAAGAUAAACAAGAUACAAGCUAUAGAUCAAUUGGGCCUUGAUCGGCAAAGGCUGGGUCGAUAUGCUGUUGAAUCGUACUUGGAACAAAUUCUGUCUCAUGGGUUUUUUCAUGCUGAUCCUCAUCCUGGCAAUAUUGCUGUGGAUGAUGUCAAUGGUGGAAGGUUGAUUUUUUAUGAUUUUGGAAUGAUGGGAAGUAUCAGCCCAAACAUUAGAGAAGGUUUGCUGGAAACCUUUUACGGAGUUUAUGAGAAGGAUCCAGAUAAGGUCCUUCAGGCAAUGGUUCAGAUGGGUGUUCUUGUGCCUACUGGAGAUAUGACAGCUGUCAGACGAACAGCACUAUUUUUUCUUAACAGUUUUGAAGAGCGACUUGCUGCACAGAGAAAGGAGAAAGAAUUGGCGACAGCAGAGCUUGGGUUUAAAAAGCCAUUGAGCAAGGAGGAAAAGAUAAUGAAAAAGAAAGAAAGGCUUGCUGCAAUUGGGGAAGAUUUAUUAGCCAUUGCAGCAGACCAACCCUUCAGAUUUCCUGCGACAUUCACAUUUGUUGUCAGAGCAUUUUCAGUAUUGGAUGGCAUUGGAAAGGGUCUUGAUCCUCGAUUUGACAUUACUGAGAUAGCCAAACCCUAUGCACUGGAAUUGCUAAAAUUUCGUGAAGCUGGAGUUGAAGUCAUUAUAAAGGACCUAAGAAAUAGGUGGGACAGGCAGUCGCGUGCAUUCUAUAACUUAUUUAGACAGGCUGACAGAGUUGAAAAGCUUGCUGAAAUUAUCCAAAGAUUGGAGCAAGGUGAUCUGAAGCUUAGAGUUCGGACUUUGGAAUCUGAGAGGGCAUUCCAGCGGGUUGCAACUGUCCAAAAGACUGUAGGAAAUGCAGUUGCUGCUGGAAGCCUAAUAAAUCUCGCAACAAUCUUGUAUAUUAAUUCCAUUCGAGUUCCUGCCAUUGCAGCAUAUGUCUUUUGCGCAUUUUUCAGUCUUCAGGUUCUCAUUGGCCUCAUAAAGGUGAAAAAGUUUGAUGAGCGGGAGAGGUUGAUAACAGGAACUGCUUAAACAAUUGGAAAACGAUAUGAUCCAUAUGAUAUAGAUGGGUCUUAGAGAAACCAAAUGGGGGAGGGAGAUCCAGCGCACAUCAUUUUACAGGUCAACCUUCUGAUUCUUGAAGAGAAUUAGGAUUGAUCGUGGGAAUACAGACUACACCCCGGUUCUUCCAGAAACAAUAUGAUCUGAACUUCCAUCUCACAGGUUUGUUUAGAAUGGAUGUGUAGAAGCUGAACACGGGGGCUUAUUCAUCCAAAUUUUAUUAAGAGUUAGAUUUGUACCUGUGUUAGUGUUAGGUUAGGUUCGCUGUGUCCCAAAAUUACGUUCCUAAAUGUGGUUAUAUUGAAGGCGUGUCGUCAUUUUUCGGGUCAAGGACUGUAUAAGGCAGCUUGCUUGUUGUAGUCCUAACAAAGUGUAAUUUGUAACAAUCUUUUAGCUUAAGAGCCUGACAUUGUCUCCCAUAAAAAAUUGGCCUGGUGGGAUCAGGGAUGUGCAUAAUUCUUGUAUAAUGUUGUAUCGGACAGAUUUUGUUUCGAAUAAAUUAAAGUUGGCCAAAGUGUGAUAUAAAGUUUA